AACAUGGAGAGUUUGAUCCUGGCUCAGGAUUAACGUUGGCAGUGUGCCUAACACAUGCAAGUCGAGCGAUAUAGCGGCAGACGAGAGAGUAAUAACAAGGAACUUACCCCCGAGUGAAGGAUAGCCGUCCGAAAGGACGGGUAAUCCUGCAUAACAUCGAAAGAUCAAAGUCCCUCACCCUUUAUGGACAGAUAAUGUCUAAUUUAAUUCGCGAAAGCGAAUUGAGUCCAUAAAGGGUGAGGGACGCUUGGGGAGAGGCCUUGUCCCUAUCAGCUAGUUGGUGAGGUAAAAGCCCACCAAGGCGAUGACGGGUAGCUGGACUGAGAGGUUGACCAGCCUCGAUGGGACUGAGACACGGCCCAUACUCCUACGGGAGGCAGCAGUUGGGAAUUUUGCACAAUGGGCGCAAGCCUGAUGCAGCAACACUGCGUGAAGGAUGAAGGUUUUCGGAUCGUAAACUUCUUUUAUCUGGGAAUAAUCUUGAAGGUACCAGAUGAAUAAGCACCGGCUAACUACGUGCCAGCAGCCGCGGUAAUACGUAGGGUGCAAACGUUAUCCGGAUUUAUUGGGCGUAAAGCGCUCGUAGGUGGUUUUGUAAGUUGGAUAUUAAAUAUCCCGGCUCAACCGGGAAACUGUAUCCAAAACUGCAUCACUUGAGGUAUGUAGGGGAGGAUGGAACUUGUGGUGUAGCAGUGAAAUGCGUAGAUAUCACAAGGAACGCCAAUGGUGAAGACAGUCCUCUGGACAUUACCUGACACUGAGGAG
rnacentral:rRNA from 1 species